CAGCAGCUAUUUACUUGAUAGAUGAUGUCUCUUAUACAUAUGUCUAGGAUGACAAUCACAUGAUAACCAAAUUUUGUUUUAGUCAGCAGCCAAGGAGUGUUAUUGACAGAGAAUCAAUUGCGACGCAAAUUUAGUAAUGUGCCUGGUGGCUUUGCCCAGGUCUAUCCUGUUUCCAUGGCAAAGGAGAUGAUGCCCUUUGUGGAAACCGCUGACGCACGUGUUGCUCUCCAGAGAUUGCGAAGGCGACCAGUGGUUCUAGUGCUAAAGGGUUGCAACCAAACCUUUCAGAAAUGAUAUAUAGAUUCUAGAACGGACCGAGG